UACGAUAGAAGGACUAGUGUUAUUUCAUCUUUAAUAGGUUUUAAAGGGUAACCGUAGACGGUAGUAAUUAGUUCUUAAACGAGGAAUGACAAUUAUACUAGAGUUAUAUAUGAGGAGGUGAGUAUUUAUGCAGUAGAGUUGAAAUUCGUUGAUAGACAUAACGACUGGUAACGGCGAAAAGCAACCUUUUAUCUAAUAACU
rnacentral:rRNA from 1 species